rnacentral:rRNA from 1 species
UCGUCACACUAUCAUUAACUGAAUCCAUAGGUUAAUGAGGCGAACCGGGGGAACUGAAACAUCUAAGUACCCCGAGGAAAAGAAAUCAACCGAGAUUCCCCCAGUAGCGGCGAGCGAACGGGGAGGAGCCCAGAGCCUGAAUCAGCAUGUGUGUUAGUGGAAGCGUCUGGAAAGGCGCGCGAUACAGGGUGACAGCCCCGUACACAAAAGCGCAUGUGCUGUGAGCUCGAUGAGUAGGGCGGGACACGUGGUAUCCUGUCUGAAUAUGGGGGGACCAUCCUCCAAGGCUAAAUACUCCUGACUGACCGAUAGUGAACCAGUACCGUGAGGGAAAGGCGAAAAGAACCCCGGCGAGGGGAGUGAAAAAGAACCUGAAACCGUGUACGUACAAGCAGUGGGAGCCCCACCACUAAGCCAGUGGUGAACUCCACAUACGCAUCCUUUGCUGAGGAUACGGUUAACGGAGCGAAAGCGACGUUCAACCUCAAAAGAAGCAGAGGGGGCUUAGUGGUGGGGUGACUGCGUACCUUUUGUAUAAUGGGUCAGCGACUUAUAUUCUGUAGCAAGGUUAACCGUAUAGGGGAGCCGGAGGGAAACCGAGUCUUAACCGGGCGUUAAGUUGCAGGGUAUAGACCCGAAACCCGGUGAUCUAGCCAUGGGCAGGUUGAAGGUUGGGUAACACUAACUGGAGGACCGAACCGACUAAUGUUGAAAAAUUAGCGGAUGACCUGUGGCUGGGGGUGAAAGGCCAAUCAAACCGGGAGAUAGCUGGUUCUCCCCGAAAGCUAUUUAGGUAGCGCCUCGUGAAUUCAUCUCCGGGGGUAGAGCACUGUUUCGGCUAGGGGGCCAUCCCGGCUUACCAACCCGAUGCAAACUGCGAAUACCGGAGAAUGUUAUCACGGGAGACACACGGCGGGUGCUAACGUCCGUCGUGAAGAGGGAAACAACCCAGACCGCCAGCUAAGGUCCCAAAGUCAUGGUUAAGUGGGAAACGAUGUGGGAAGGCCCAGACAGCCAGGAUGUUGGCUUAGAAGCAGCCAUCAUUUAAAGAAAGCGUAAUAGCUCACUGGUCGAGUCGGCCUGCGCGGAAGAUGUAACGGGGCUAAACCAUGCACCGAAGCUGCGGCAGCGAACGUAUCACUUAAAGCGAUUCAGCGGAUGACGAUUGACGGAGCGAAGCGACGUCAAAGCGUAUACAAAGUCGAGUCGGUUUAAGGAUACGUUCGUUGGGUAGGGGAGCGUUCUGUAAGCCUGCGAAGGUGGCCUGUGAGGGUUGCUGGAGGUAUCAGAAGUGCGAAUGCUGACAUAAGUAACGAUAAAGCGGGUGAAAAGCCCGCUCGCCGGAAGACCAAGGGUUCCUGUCCAACGUUAAUCGGGGCAGGGUGAGUCGACCCCUAAGGCGAGGCCGAAAGGCGUAGUCGAUGGGAAACGGGUUAAUAUUCCCGUACUUGGUGUUACUGCGAAGGGGGGACGGAGAAGGCUAUGUUGGCCGGGCGACGGUUGUCCCGGUUUAAGCGUGUAGGUGUGUGUUCCAGGUAAAUCCGGUUCACUUUAACACUGAGGCGUGACGACGAGGCACUACGGUGCUGAAGCAACAAAUGCCCUGCUUCCAGGAAAAGCCUCUAAGCAUCAGGUAACAUCAAAUCGUACCCCAAACCGACACAGGUGGUCAGGUAGAGAAUACCAAGGCGCUUGAGAGAACUCGGGUGAAGGAACUAGGCAAAAUGGUGCCGUAACUUCGGGAGAAGGCACGCUGACAUGUAGGUGAAGUGAUUUACUCAUGGAGCUGAAGUCAGUCGAAGAUACCAGCUGGCUGCAACUGUUUAUUAAAAACACAGCACUGUGCAAACACGAAAGUGGACGUAUACGGUGUGACGCCUGCCCGGUGCCGGAAGGUUAAUUGAUGGGGUCAGCGCAAGCGAAGCUCCUGAUCGAAGCCCCGGUAAACGGCGGCCGUAACUAUAACGGUCCUAAGGUAGCGAAAUUCCUUGUCGGGUAAGUUCCGACCUGCACGAAUGGCGUAAUGAUGGCCAGGCUGUCUCCACCCGAGACUCAGUGAAAUUGAACUCGCUGUGAAGAUGCAGUGUACCCGCGGCAAGACGGAAAGACCCCGUGAACCUUUACUAUAGCUUGACACUGAACAUUGAGCCUUGAUGUGUAGGAUAGGUGGGAGGCUUUGAAGUGUGGACGCCAGUCUGCAUGGAGCCGACCUUGAAAUACCACCCUUUAAUGUUUGAUGUUCUAACGUGGACCCGUAA